ensembl:lncRNA
CCCCUUGGUGAUGUAUGACUCUGCUCAGCUGAGGGGAGCAGGGGGCGGGGCCUGUCCCGCCCCUCUGAGGGGAGAGCAGACACCAAACCUUCUCUCCAUGGGGGAGAACAUCUGCCUUGGACUCCAAAAAUAGGCUUCUCAGAAUCCCGUCAAGGCUGAAAGAGAUGCCCUGCCAAUCCAACCUCCAACAACCUCCCUUUAGUCCAUGCUGAGCUCAGCUGCAACUUCACAUCCCAGCUCCAACCCAGCCUCAGCCCCGUGCCCCAGGCCAGCCUCAGCCCCAGCCUCCUCCCAGGCUCUGCCCCUCCACCCCAUGCCUGCCAGCCUCUGUCCUCUCUGCCUCAGUGCUAAGGACCAUUCCCACACUUUAUCCCCCAGCAUACUAUGGGAUUAAUAGGACUAAAUUGGGGGGGGAGAGGGGACACACAAAGAAGGGAAUGGAGGGAGGGAGGGAGGAGCGUCCAGAAACACUCCUUGGCCAAACCGUUCAAAGCUGUGUAUUUGAGAGAGGCCCGGAGAAUAAGUGAGGGGCAUGCUGUCCCUUUCACACCCACAGCCCUCCCUAUGCCAGCAUCUGAGACCCCACUCCCAUCUAAUGCCAGGUCUGGGAAUUUAACUUCCCUCCACAUACGCCCAGGGCCACCAAGGGGGUGGUGGGGUGGACUAGCCCUAGAGAAAAAAAUUGGAUGGGCCUCCCAACGAAGGAGGACCCAUUAAAAAAUCUUCCCGUAAUAUUUGCAAUGUUUUGUGACAGAGUCAGGCCACAGGUUCCCUUUUAAACAGCUGUGUCAAGUCAUUUGUACUGGCAUGCCCCAUCUCAGAGGCCCUGGCCCACAACCCCCUUUGGGAACCUUUAGGGAAAGAUUCUCUUGAGAUAAGCCCCUUUGCUCCAUCCACCGUAGCAUCUUGGUGAGGAAGAGGAGGCAGGCCAGAUAACCACCUUCAAGAACCACAGGUGUGCCCAAGAGUGUACCCCAUCUCUCUGUAUCUUGGCUUGCCCUCUGUGUACCCUUGUCUGUGUGUACCUUUCAUUGCGUGUGUGUGUGUGUGCACGUACAUGCCUUGCCUCUUCACUGAAUGGUAGGUUUUAGUUAAUUCAAUUGAUUACAAUAAUUAACACAACCCUCAAAAAAGUCCUUUUUCCCUUUGAAAGUGACACUUUGGCCCUGUACCAGAGAGGGGCGGGGUGGCUCCAGUCUGAGCUGGAAGAAGCUGACAUAGAAGUCACCCCUCGCACGAGAGGAGGGCAUAGGUCAUAGGACAAGGCAGAGUAGGAGGCAUUGACCUCUACAAGCACACACGUGUCCACCCGUGCCCGUGAAACACACACAUGUAGACAUGCAUGCAUGUACAUUUUGGCCUUAGCCUGGUGUUGUCCCCACAAUGGAAGAAACUGGCUUCAUCCUUGAUUGGAAAGAACCCAUAAAGGGGGCUUCUUCUCUCACUGUCCCUCCUCUGAGAGCCUCCUUGCUCACACUCACACAGACAUACACUCUCACACACAAUAUACACACACUCACACAUGGUGGAGCGAAGAGAAAGGGAAGAGAAAGGCUAAAAGAAGCCAGCAACCAAAGGUCAGCCCAGGCGGCUCAGCCACGUGCAGUCCAUCCACCCCCAUCAGGUCAUGUGAGACCAAGACCAAAGCUUCAUCAACACGCCAUUGUCCUACAGAACGCAGCCUUGGGUUGAAUGGGACAAGCCCCCUCCAGCCCAAGACUAGUCAGUGCCCACCCAGAACCUGUGGUCCCCUCCUGAGAGGACCCUCUGAG